CUGGCUCCAUUGCAAACUGAGUAAACAGCUGACGGGCAGGCCAUCGUCGCUGCUGGAGACAGCGAGACAAACACAUGAGGGUCAAAUCUUGAGCGUUUCAGCAGUCACUCAUCAAAAUACCAUUUGACUUGAGCAGGAAGCUGGACUAAAUGUGAACGAUGGUGUUUGGCACAUGGUGGGUGUCCAGAUGGCCUAGUGUUAGGCACUGCCUUCUGAGGGUGGAUCCCACCCAAGUUAUUAUCAAGGAUUCUUGCAACAGCCACAGGAGAGAUUGACAAGUCAGAUUGCCUUCAUUAAGAGCCAAAUUUGGGUCUGCUAAAUCACCCUCUAAAUUUCAAGCAGAUGAAAGACGCUGGAGGAGGAGGAAGAUGGCAAGAAGCGUCGUUCACUGGAAUGCAUGUACUGGAACGCACGCUCACGUCUUCUGCUGGAGGGACCUCUGCCAAGGGAGAACAUCACUUCUGAGGAACUGCUGGUUCAAAUUGCCACUUAAUCUCUUCAAAUUGGCUUUCGUGUACACCCGUGGCACACGGACCUCAGCAGUCUGGUAAGUCUGAAAGUCUGCAUUGUUCUGUUGUCAGGUUCAGAGAAAGACGAAACAAAAAUGCUCAAGUCCAGGGUUGCCUCACUGCCAGUAAUUCCUUUUAAACUAGUUGCAGUAUGCACUCGCAGUGCUGAAGAAUAAUAUCCACUUAACAUGCUGUCUGUUAGAGAAAUGUGUGCCCUGCUUUUGAAGAUGUGAUGAUGUGCUGCUUUGUCUCAGGUGCAGAGCUCCGUGCAGUGCAGCCUGAGGAGAUGCUCUAAAACCUCACCUUGGCUGCACUGAAAAGUGUGGCAAGAGAUGCAGAAUAAUGCCUGACACCUCGAAUGGCAUGCAUCGGGGCUAUUACAUGAUGAAUGGCUGUGUCUUGGGAAUUGGAAGUCAUGGGUGAUAGCUUUAUGGGAGCAGACAAGACUUCUGGAUGUAUAAAGAAAGAAGGACAUAACUCUGAAUUUAUACAAGCCGUAUUUAUUGUAAAACCCUAAUGAAGGUUAAUGCUUUGACCCCAAGGAAGGUGGUGUGCAUUUGCAAUGAAGCUCUGGGAUGCCUCACUUGAUGGCACACAGAAGCUUGGCAAAUUUGGACUGGGAGAUGGACAUUGUUAUAUGCCAGUGAGCAGCCUGGCUGCUGCCAUCACAGCGCUGGGACCUUGCGGAGUUCCCUGUGAAGGCUGUAUUUGUUUUCUCUUAUGACUUUGGUGUUGAUGAUGAACAAUGGCAUUCUACCAAGUGUGGCAGAUACCACCUGUGGAUGAGCUGCGUUUUGAAGAGGAAAACCCUCCCAAGCGUUGCUCUGGUCUGCAGUGAAGUUUCACUGAUCUGGAACUUCAGGUGCUUCGUCCCCUGGUUUGCUGAUUUGCUGCUACUUGCUGUUUCUGAUUUUCUUUCUACAACAAUGUAUUGGGAACACAGUAUAUGGCUUCUUGAAGGUUAGUACUGAGCAGACAAACCACUUCUGUGCAAAAGGGACUUCUGAUACACAGCAGUGUUGUAGACAUGGAAAAUAUGGUGUGUCUGUACAAACACACGUACAUGCAAACACAUCAUUUAACGCUGCUGUGGCUUCAGAAGCACCCUGUGCCUCCCCAGAAGCCUUUCCAGAGGCAGCGGCUCAGUCCCGUUAUCUUGUGUUCUGCUGCAGAAGGGACAUUCACAGAAGAAGCCACAAGGAAAAUCCCAUCGUGAGCCCCAAAGACACCUUCAUCUCUGCGUCUAUGCAGCUCUAGCCUGUGGCUGCUCUGUGGCUGUCCUGAGCAUGCGAUGCUGGUGAGGUAUUUGAGCACGCACUUGUGCAAUGCCUCUAGUUCCUCCCUGCGUGCCUCCACACAGGCUGUGCUGUGAGUUUUACUUUUCUUGUUUAUUUUGGUUGUACCUGUAUGUUCUCCUGCAGAUUCAAAGCUCCGAAGAAGCUGCACCGACCGCCUGUCUUGGCAUGACUGUCUGCUGCUGAAUUUGCUGGAGAAAUUAGAACUUGUCUUGCAGAAGAUGGACUCACUGGUUUUAUUAAUAUUGCAAAAUAGCUAGCUUUGACAAGCAGCCAAGAGUGGAGCUAGUCCCUUUCCCAGCCACAGGUUGUCUCAUAGUGAACCCUUCUUUCACUUGGCAGUGCACUGCAAAUGUGAGAACCAUGCCUCCUCCUGCCAUAGCUCUCACGUUACCCUCAUCUCCACCACGCUGUCCAACUCAGCUUAGCUGAGCGCGGAAGCUGCCUCCUCACCCAAGUAAGCACUGCUUACCCAGGUGUGCCUGGCUGGAUGAGGGAGGGGGACGCCCAACAUCCUGAUGGCAGACAGAUCCCACAGCAAACUGUGUCUGUCAUAGGAGGUGCGAAGAGCCACUUAUGUUGGCCAGAUGUCUCACGGUUGGUUGAGAUGACCCUUCCCCUCUCUCUGAAGGGACACAACUUGGCUUUUCUACAGCUCCAGGUAGAGGAAAAGCACCACUGGCUGCAAGAACUGGGAAUGUGACUCAGCAUCACAGUGUACUGCCUGGGAGGCUGGACGUGUUUAGGAGCCCUGUGCAUGGCCAAGCAACUGGAUGCCAUUGACGUGGUGCUCGAGCCUUGAUCUGCUGUUCAAAGGGGAGAGACUUCUUAAGAAAAAGCCUGAACUGUGGUAGUCCCUUAAGAGUUUCUCCUGGGCCAAAUACUGAAAUCCUCUCUAGGUUAAUUCCUCGCUGGAGACAUUCAGAGGGUUGCACAAGUCAAAAUGAAAUGAAGGCACUGGAUCUGUCUGGCUUGUUUUUAGGGAAUAAUUUAUUUCCCAGAAUCAGCAUUUACGAUUUUUUUUUUCCCCUUCAGAUCAGACCACCAGCAGGUUUGUUUCACCCUCUAGGUGUUGUCAGGGAAUUACUGGAAAGCAGCACGGCUUUCUAUACCUUUGAUGCUCUUAAAAUUAUAGCCCCUUUUCCCAACACAGAGAUGUAGCUAGAAGAUCUGUGAAAGGUUUUAGCUCACGUUUCCAAGAAAGAACCACUAAUUUUUUGAUGAGUUAAGGCUUUGGCAACAGCAGUGGGAUUCUCUCACCUGCCAGCAGAUAAGAAUCAUUGUAAAUGUUCACCAUUCUGGGCUAUGCUAUCUAGCCAGUUGAAAAGCCAGUAGUGUGCCAUCUGAAUUUUCCCCUUUCAGAAUUUCCAUUGAACGUGGUCGUUCUGACAAUCUGCCAUUCCACUAGCACAAAAAGGUGCUUAUCUUGCAAAGUUAUUUCAUUUAUAUUAACUCAUUGUGUUUACUUAUUUAAAUAUUCUCUGCAGAUGAGACAUAUGGCAAAUGCUGGCCAACUUAGUCUCAGCUGCUUCUCAGAUCCAGAUGCUAAUAUCAUUUCAUAACUUGGCUUGUGCAGUUCAGAUCUGUACCAAAAGAUUCUGUUUUGAAUUACCAUUAUAUUUGAUAUUAAUACUAAGCAUACUCACAGCUGUCCUACAUUGCUAUUUCCACCCUCACUGGGAUUCGGAUCUCAGACAGAGAACAUAACACUCUUCCAUGUCUGCCUCUCAGGCUUUUACAUCUAUCCUGGGCUCACAGUGUAUUGUCUGCAGCAGAGUAUGCACUAAUUACCUCUGCAUCGUACCUAGCUUAGGGGCUUGAUGGCCUUUCUGGGGUCAGGUCUAACCUGGGUGGUUUUUCCAGCACUGUAGUAGUGAUCUUUAACAGGGCAGUCCAGAAAAGACUGACAUGUUGAUUGUUGAGUCUCCAAGGGCAUUUGGGACUGGAUUUCUGAAGUGUUUAGUCACCUGAAGAUGAGGAAUGGUAUCUAAUGGGAUUUUCCAAACCACACUGGGCUCAGAUCCUCAGUGGUAUUAAAUGUCUUUGUCUCGGUGAAGCUCAUGGGAGUGAAGCAGCCAAGCAUGCUGAGGGUGUGGAUGUCCAUGCCCUGUACUCUUUGACAACAUCUGCACAGUCUGUAAGAGCAUCAACACCUUUAUGAGUCUGGAGAAGCCAGCCCAGCCCCAGAAGCUGAGCACAGGACUUCCCUGAGCUGUGGGGAAUGUGCUCACACCUUGCCCCUAGUCUGGCAGAUGCACAGAGAUGAAAUGUUCCCAGCUUUGCAUGGAGUCCAUGCCCACCCUCAGCUAUGGUACUCACUGGGGGAACAGGGGGUGCAAGGAGUAAACCUUACAGCCUGCUAAGGGCAGAACUGGACCAGCUGAGCCUGGGUAAACAUCCGCGUUGCUGGGAAUGGCACUUCAGUCACUUCUAUGACUCAAGUAUUUUCUUUUUCCCACAGAGCCAGUGUCACUAUGGAGAGGAGUAAGAUUAAACAACCCAAUUCCUUGUGCCCGCUGAGUAUGGCUGAGCAACACCUGUGUGUCCGUGGCCAGAAAUUUGCCCUGGGCACGUGAUUCCUUAGCACAAGAGCAGGAUGUAGGCUGCUGCUAAGGAGCAGGUCAGCACUUGAGAAGGAGUCACGUGCCUACUCUCACUGAAAGCUAAAUAUUUCUGUUGGUGACAAUCUAGCUUACCACCUUUUACAGCAGAAAACAGGAGAAAGGCUGUAAAUCCAACGUAACCUCACCUGGCCUCUCAGGAGCCAGCACGGUGGUGGUAGGACUCAGGCUGGGGAACAUCCUGGGUGCCGUUCGGGUUGUGAGUGGGUUGGCAUCCUUGGCACGAGCCCAUUCAAAAGCAGCAGGCACAGCCCUGGCCCCAGCAGUGAAAUGUCCUGGCCAGAUGUGUGCUUGAGGAGCACCUCGCCUGGGUGUUUUCCAAGGUACACCAAGAUGCAUGCUGCGCAGCGAGAGUCAGCGCCUCUCCCUCCAUCUUCUGCUUUCUCCUCAGAGAGGAUUGGAGUUUAUUUAAUCUCAGAUUUCUUGCUGAAAAACGCUCAGUGAGCAUGAAAUGCCUUUGAACUCUGGGAGCAUUGCUACUGCCUGUAAUAAGGCUGGGUAGAGGGAGACAGCCGCUUCCGUUGCUAUUCCAAACACAUCUGCACAACGCACUUCAGGAAGCACUGAAACGUCCCCGCAGCCCCGGCCCCUUCUGUAGGUGCGGGAGGAUGAAGGGCACUGCGUGAGACCCGCACACCAUCGGCACACAGCACGCAACGGGGGCAAAUAGCUGAGCUUCGUAUGAAAGUAUUUCAGCCUAGACAACAAUCAGCUGCAAGGAACUUGGAAUACGUCGGAAAGCGGAUAGCCAGGAAACCCUUUCCAUGAAGUGCAGAGAGGAUUUAGUUGCUGAGAGCUGCAAAGAUGCAUACAUUUUCCUAAAAAAACAUUCGCGGUGCCAACAUGAAGAUUCAGUGCAUUGUCAAAACAAGCCAAGAUUCUUAUUAAAACCAAUUGCUUUGGUUUGUUAGGCUACUUUACUAUGGUGUCUCUAAGCCAACAUAUGUAUUUGGGUUUAGAAGAGCUGUUGCAGCCAAACCUUAGGUGGCUGGAAAUGAAUGCGAGCUGAGCAGAUGCAGGGUAUCAUUUGCCCACUACUGUCCUUUUGAGGCUGCUUGAUGGUAUGUGGUAUGUCAGAUGUUGGCUUUCUCCUCUCUGAGAGCAGAUGGCUUGGUGAGGAAGCUGUGCAAUGCAUCUUUGUAUGAGGUAGGCAAGGCUGCGAGAACCCUAGGUGCAUCUCAUUUGCACAAACAGGAAUGUAACAGAAGAAAAUAAGAGAAAACAUAUAUGAUGUUUCUUGUAACGUGGAUUUCACAUGGCUGAAUGCUGUGAAUAAGAGAAUUUUGAAGAGAGAGGAGAUAUUUUUCAUUAGGCUGUUACGAUCCCCAAAAAGCUCGCAGAAGAAGACCUUGUGUGUCUAAAAGUUAGUCUGCUUUUUGGGAGGGCUAUAUUGGUCCAGCAAAAGACAUUAUCCCUCUCCUAUAUCCUUUAUCUCUUUUGCCCAUCAUGGCUACAGCAAUCCUAUGCUGGAAUAAGAAACCAAGGGGGUGUGCUUCUGCAGCGUGGAUCCUCUCUUCGUGGCAUCAGAGCAGAAGGAGAGUCCUUCCACCUGUGCCAAUGAUGACAGAUGGGGUAUGUGAAAUUGGCACUGGGGGUGAUGUUCUAACACAAGUAUUCAAUUAUUCUCUAGGCAAACCUAAAAAAAAAAAAAAAAACAACCUGAAGAUUUUUUGAAUGUACAUUUGAAGCCAGAAUUACAUUUCUACUUUAUAAUAUAUAUGGUAUUGGAAGAUUUGACUGUUUUAGCAGUGUGAGGUUAAAAAAAGAAACAGUUAAGUCUUCGAGGGGGUGUGCUAGAGAAGGCAAUUCUAUCUACUGCAGUGCUUCAAAGAUCAGGAAGCUGAGAUACCAGAAAUUUUCUUUUCCUAUUCCUUUAUUGAGCACCCCGGCUCACCCAUGAACACUGUGCUUUGUGACCCCAGUAACAUCCCAUAGUGAUAACGUAUUUCCUAAAAGGGCAUUUAAGAGAAAUGCAGGACGAUGCUGUAAGGUGUUGCUAACGGAAUAUCAUCUGCACCAGGCACUGGGAAGCGCUGCUGUGCUGACCCGCAGCCCUGGCUGUUGGGAUGGCUGGGUGCUGGCACUGAGCUGCAGAGGGGCACGCUGCUGGAGGAGGGAGGACGUGCCCGAGAUUCCCAUGCUCUGAGCAAGAGCUCAGGCUCAGCCUGCCUCCAGCGGGCUGCACUCGCACAUCUGAGCCUCAAGGCAAACUCCCAGCCCAGCUAUCAGACUCUUGGCAGCAAUUUCCACACGGGUUUGUUGUAUUUGGACUCGAGAUUCCCCCUUGACCCCAAAAGUCACACUAAAACGCUAAAAGUAUUUUCUUUACUUGCUAAAGAAAACACAGAGGACUUUAUUUAGUUAUUCAGAACUCCUCAGCCAUUCUUCGAUCACUUCAUGAUUUCCAGAGAUUGUAUCUGUGCUGUUGUCUGCCGGCUCGGGUCACUCCGAGCAGCUCGGAGGGGAAGGAAAGCUGCUACAUUUCAUUGUCCUCAAAAGAGGGGAGAAAAAUCCGACUCGCGUUCCCAAUCCAAACACCGCCGCUGCCUCGUGCAUUCUUGACAGCUAGCGAGGCUUCAUUGAGAACCGUUUGUAGCCUUUAGCUCCCUUCUAACAAGUUGGCCAUUGCCAUCGAGGAGAUUUUUUCUCAACUGAUUUAUGAGCUUUAAUUUAUAUGCGAGCCUGGAAUACUUGCUUUGGGAAGAGUUCUGCCACAAGCCAAGCUUGCACGGAGAUGCACAGCAAUUUGCAUGGUAUGUUCUGUACGCUCACCGUCCAGCCUGCAGCAGGCCAAAAAACCCCAGGUCCCGCAGCACUUGGCUCUCCAGCAGCAGCUCCAUACAGUCAUCACACGGAGAGUCGGGGAAAGCAGGACCUGUCUGGAUAAUAAGCCAUCAUUUCGUCCCAUGCUUAAAAGAAGCUCUCUGUGCUUUGAACAGGCCAAAUAACAUUUUCCCCCAUAAUUUUUUAACUUUGGGCACCUUUGCAAAUUACUCUCCUGGCUGGGAAGGAGCUCAGGAGUGCCAGAACACCAUGGGAAGAGGCUGCUCUGUGAUACUGCCAACCUGCGAAGGAGGAGGAAAUGCUGGAAAUCCCCUAAGCACGCCUGUUUUCUUGAGAUUCCCAACUCGAUUUUGCAAACUCAGAAGAUUUUAUAUAAUUUGGUUUAGUCGGUUCAGAGGUCUAAGGCACUUGGCUGUGCAUCUGGAUUGCAUCUUUGGGGUGGGUUAUCCAAAAAAGUACUCAGAACAGUAUGAAAUUCAUCCUUCGCUAGCAAAGCUGAAGGAAAACAAGAGCACGGGAAGGGAGUUUCUUCUCUCUGCUUGCUGUGCUGGACGCUGGGUGUGAACCUGUGAUCCGUGCCUCUGCCACCAGAUGCUGUGCCUUGUGCCAGCAGAGGAGACAUCAGCCCGCUGACCACCUGUCUUCAGAGCAAGAAAAAAAGGAAAAGAGAGAGAAUUUGAAAAUAAAUCUCUCAUCUGAUGUGCAAGUGCAGCAAGCACAGUGAUGACACACAAGCUACAGGGCUUUAUUCAGGCUUCCCUGUCUGAUAAUGUGGGCCUUAAAAACCCCUGACAUGAAAUGAUUCAGGUUGAAAAGUGCAAGUCAAUCCAAAACAGAAACAAAGAAACUUAGUGUUAACGGCCCUUUCAUUUUAUCACCAUAGAAAAGGGUUGCGUAUUGAUGCGACAGUGCCCACGGAAGCCCAGAGCCCAUCUGCAGGUGGUGCUAACCCAGAGCUGUCCCACAGCAUUGGCAGCCACCAGCACCUCGCGGGCUGGGCUGGGCUGGGCUCUGCCUGCAGGCGGCUGCGUUCGGCGGUGGGUGAAACGAGUCCUCUGUUUUGAUGGGCCAACUCUUCCCUUUAGAUGUCUGUGCUCACCUCCCAUUAACUUUGGUAUGAGCUGAGCUCAUGCUUCCAAGAGCGAAAUUUGGCUUAUAAUUUCUGCAUGCUUCGGGAUCCUUUGGGUACCAUAUAAAUGUAACAUGCUGUGAUUCAGUGCUAAAGAGCAGAGAAAAUUCAACCCCCCAGGAGAUACAGUGAGAGAAAAUCAUAUAGAACCUUUGUUUAAAAUAAUAAUGAAAAGAAAAAAGAAAGAUCAAGAAAAACAAUUGAGAUUCAUUCCAAAGCUGAGUUCAUUGCACAGCGAGGACAGAACGCACAUCCCUUAUCCAGCGAUAGCUUCUUUGACAUGGAUGAGUUAGGGCCCAUUGGACCAGGCCCCAGUUUUGAAGGCAUUAUUGAAAAUGUCUUACCUCCUAUAUUUCCUGUUUUUUAAUCAAACUCACUGUGCUGCCAGAGGUGUUUCAUUUACCAGGAGAGGGGUCAGCGAGGCAGCCACGAGCAACAGGAAAUAAAGCACCGUGCGGCCCCUCCCUGCCUGGACGCGGGCUGGGGCCAGCAGUGCUGAGCUCGGUGCUGUCUGCCUGUACCAUGGCAUCCUACAGCCAACGUGGGCACUGGGGGUCUGCCUGCUGGCUCUGCCAUGCAGCCCUGCGCCAACAGCGAACGGUGCAUACAUCCUCGAAUUUUAUUUUCUAUCUACUGCCGUAGUUUCUUGGCUUGUUGCAACUGUCAUAAAAUUACUUUAUUAUAUUUUCCCAUCUGUUAUGUUUUUGCUUCUUUAGAGGGGGAUGUUGCGUGAUGCUUAUAGUCUAAUUUAGCUUUAAACUUGUAUGGCUGUUGUUUAUGGAAAACGAACGUUGCAUUUGCAGAAUAACCUGUGGCUUUCCUGUAGAACCAAGGAGAAUGUCUGCAGGCAGCAAACAUGGAUGCAACCAGAUGGACAGGACUGCUCAUUGCCUCCUGCCCCAACUCCUCUGCUUUGAGUUGUGGCCUUGGCCAUGGCCAGUGGAGUUCUAAUUACUCAUUAAUUUAGCUAUCCUCCUGCAUUGCCCAGCUAAGGGCUCUCCAUCACCACUUUCACCACUGUUGAAGCCAUUCAUUCAGUCUUAGCUUGAACAACCUAAGUCUUAGAAUAAUUUGUUCUUUAACAAAAAGCGCAGAGAACAGAGCGCUGCUCUGCCCACCUGGCUUGUUUUCCGCUCUCCUCUUUGCCUCCAGUCUGACUGCUGGUUCUCAUGGUCUGCCUGAGCUGGAGAGUAAUCCCAUCCACUCCCCUGCUCACAUUGUUGGUUUUUUUUCCUGUAAUUUGUACUGCUAGUGUAUAUUAAAGAUUUUGUUCUGUUAAACUGUUGAGACUGUUAGAUGAAAUCCAGCAUUUAAUCUGGGAGUUUGGCGAUACCAAAGGAUUUCUGAACACACAAAAUCCUGCUCUAAGAAGAAAAAAGUGAAGUUUGAGAAUCCUAUUUAUGUACCUCCACUGAGUCUCUCCUUCCUGCCCUGAGUGUAUUACACUGUGCUUCUCAAACACAAUUUUAUCUCCAGGAGAGGAAGCAAUAACUGUUCUUAUCAGUGGACCAGAACCUACAUCAUGCACAUGGCAUGAGGCAAAGAAAUCCCAUGCACCUGCAACUGGCCACGACUUUGGCACAAACAGAAGCAGAGAGAGCACACGUGUAAGGAGCUGAGUCAAGGACUUUGAGCAACGAUGUGACUGCUGUCUAUCAGGAUCUUGUGAAUAACAAGGCAGCUGGGGUGUGACUUCAAAAUAUAACUGUGACAUUUGUGGACAUCAUAGGCAAUUAGUUGUUUUUCGAUUGCGGUUGUCUAACUGGAAAGUAUGGGUGAAGUUUCAGCCUCUACAACGGUCCAACUGUUUGACAUCAACAGUUUCGAAAAAGGGACUUUUACUGUAUAAAAUGAUUAUUCCUAUCUGUAGAUUGUAGUAAAAGAAAAAUCCAAGGCACGAUGUGAAACUGAUGCCUGAGUAGAGCUGUGCAAGAUCGCUUCGGUGGCAGCUCUCUUGGCUUCCACCUCUGUGCCAUCAGUGCUGCACUUCUUGUGGAUGCUGUCCUUCAGGAUUAAGAAGGAAUAAAGAGAAUCAGACACAGAAUCACUGCCUGUGCUGGAAUUCAGCUGGUGAAGACCUCAAAAUGAACUGGCAAGGAGGUUGCAUUUGAACUCUGCAGCCCCUAUGUUCAAUUCUUUAUUAACUUUUUCAAUAUGUUCUAUUACGGUCACAAUAUGGGAGCUAUCUUGCAGCUAAUUUAACACCUGUAAAUUCCCAUGGCUGGUAAUGAAACAUUGCAUAGACUAGUGGAUGAAGCAUUUGCUUCAUAUAUCUAAGGUCAUUAGUUCAGUACUCGUUAAUGCUGUAGCUUUUAUUAAAAUUUCUUUUAGUUUUGGUUUUCUUUUUGCAUCAGCCCCUUACAGGCUGAUUAAUUCUUCUCCUUCCCAAAGCUAAACACAAAACAUGAGCAUCUGACCCAGAGCACUGGGGCUAAACUCUGCACUGAAGUCUUGAAUUAUGCUGCCUGAGGUUAUCCUUUCAAAGCCUCCCCGGCUGCCAUGAGGGUGACAGUGUGACACCAGGGGACACGUCAUCGUGGCCAGGUCAUGGUGACACAAGUGACACUGCUGUUGGCACGUUCCGUUCCCUCUGCCCAGCCUGCGCUGUGUCAUCACUGCUGCGGCUGAGAAAAGCAGAGGCAGUGAGCUCCGGCCCUGCAGCUGGUGUUGCUGGAUGUUUUCUAUCCAACCUGACCCUUUCUCAACCCUGACAUGGGUUGGGUCCACCACAGUAGCCAACUUUUCAAAACACAACCAGCACAAAGCAACAUUAUCAUGAAAGUAAGCGGCUUCUGGAGAUGAAAUCACAUGAGCCGUGCAUCCAAAUGCGAUGCUGCAGCUUCUGGGAAACGCUGAGCGUGCGCUUCUUCACCUUGCAAGCUCUUGGCAUGCGUGCUGUUUAUCAAAAUAACAGCUCAUUGAAAUACAGCCCAAAGGACUGCCAGGAAGGUUGAAUGAAGCACUGUUGUUUCCAGCACACCACGGUCUCCAUUGGUUUCUCCAGAGGAGGGAAGUGCGUGGGCUCCAGGAACGCACCCCAUGCCCAAAGCCCACCUGGUUCUGCCUGCACGUGGAGCUGCCAUGGGACUGCGCCUCGGCCAGAUCUGGACAUUGCUUUGUUAGCAAAGUGCCACCUGCCAGGAGUCUGCCCCUGGGGCAUCAUUCUGGUCAUCCACAGGGAAAAGAAAUGCUGGAUGUACUCCUGACACCAUUAAAUUGAUCUGUAAACAAGCUAUGCUUUUUAUUAACAACUUCAUGCUGCAGAAUGUUAUAAGAUAUGUGCUUCUUUGUAAGAAACGCAUGCUGUUUUAUAUUCAUAUCCGUGCCUGCCUUAUAGCUGGCUUUGUGACGCUACUCAUUAAUUCAGGAUUGAAAUGUCUUUCUCACUCUGUGACAUUUAGGUGCCUGAUAUUUUUUACAAAGCUUAUUAAAACUCAGAUUUGU
rnacentral:lncRNA from 1 species